GAUGAACGCUGGCGGCGUGCCUAAUACAUGCAAGUCGAGCGAACAGACGAGGAGCUUGCUCCCCUGACGUUUGCGGCGGACGGGUGAGUAAAACGUGGAUAACCCACCUCUAAGACUGGGAUAACUUCGGGAAACCGGAGCUAAUAUCGGACAAUCUAUUUAACCGCAUGGUUCAAUAGUGAAAAACGGUUGUGUCGUCAUUUAUAGAUGGAUCCGCGCCGCAUUAUGUAGUUGGUAAGGUAAUGGCUUACCAAGGGGACAAUGCGUAGCCGACCUGGGAGGGUGAUCGGCAACACGGGAACUGGGACAGGGUCCAGACUCCUACGGGGGGAAGCAGUAGGGAAUCUUCCGCAAUGGGCGAAGGCCUGACGGAGCAACGCCGCGUGGGUGAUGAAGGUCUUCGGAUCGUAAGACUCUGUUAUUAGGGAGAAACAAAUGUGUAAGUAAAUAUGCACGUCUUGACGGUACCUAAUCAGAAAGCCACGGCUAACUACGUG
rnacentral:rRNA from 1 species